rnacentral:rRNA from 1 species
AAGUCGAGGGGCAGCAUGAACUUAGCUUGCUAAGUUUGAUGGCGACCGGCGCACGGGUGAGUAACACGUAUCCAACCUGCCGAUGACUCGGGGAUAGCCUUUCGAAAGAAAGAUUAAUACCCGAUGGCAUAGUUCUUCCGCAUGGUGGAACUAUUAAAGAAUUUCGGUCAUCGAUGGGGAUGCGUUCCAUUAGGCAGUUGGCGGGGUAACGGCCCACCAAACCUACGAUGGAUAGGGGUUCUGAGAGGAAGGUCCCCCACAUUGGAACUGAGACACGGUCCAAACUCC